UACGUAGGGUGCGAGCGUUUAAUCGGAAUUACUGGGCGUAAAGCGUGCGCAGGCGGUCCGCAAAGUCUGAUGUGAAAGCUCCGGGCUCAACUCGGAGAGGUCACUCGAUACUGCCAUGACUGGAGUCCGGUAGGGGGGUGUGGAAUUCCCAGUGUAGCGGUGAAAUGCGCAGAUAUUGGGAGGAACACCAAUGGCGAAGGCAGCACCCUGGGCCGGUACUGACGCUGAGGAGCGAAAGCGUGGGGAGCAAACAGG
rnacentral:rRNA from 1 species